AGUCGAAGCGGACAGAUGGGAGCUUGCUCCCUGAUGUCAGCGGCGGACGGGUGAGUAACACGUGGGUAACCUGCCUGUAAGACUGGGAUAACUCCGGGAAACCGGGGCUAAUACCGGAUGCUUGAUUGAACCGCAUGGUUCAAUUAUAAAAGGUGGCUUUUACCUCCCCUUUCCAAAGGAACCCCCGCCCCAUUACCUAUUGGGGAAGGAAACG
rnacentral:rRNA from 1 species